GAUGAAGAACGUAGCGAAAUGCGAUAAGUAAUGUGAAUUGCAGAAUUCAGUGAAUCAUCGAAUCUUUGAACGCUCAUUGCGCCCGCCAGUAUUCUGGCGGGCAUGCCUGUUCGAGCGUCAUUACAACCCUCAAGCCCCCCGGCUUGGUGUUGGGGACCGGCCACCGGUGCCCUGCUGCUUCCGCGGCAGGCGCACCCGGCCGCCCCCGAAAUGAAUUGGCGGCCCCGUCGCGGCCUCCCUCUGCGUAGUAGCACACAUCUCGCAGCUAGAGCGCGGCGCGGCCACUGCCGUAAAACGCACCAACUUUUUUUACAGUUGACCUCGAAUCAGGUAGGAAUACCCGCUGAACUUAAGCAUAUCAAUAAGCGGAGGA
rnacentral:misc_RNA from 1 species